GUAGGGAACUGUGGUUCCCUGGCAGACUGUGUAACAUGCCCCAGAGCUGCCCCACCCAGGGGUGAGAACUGGGAUAUUUAUCCUCCAAUUCCCCAUCCAUCAUUGUUGAAUGCUGCUCACAGGGACAGACGUUAACUUCUUGGCAUUUUCAUUCUUCCCUAGAUCUGGACACAUUUCUCCCCACCAAAGCAGGCUCCGUUAGUAAGAAAAAUAUUGAAAGCAAUCAGAUGGCAAGCUCCUGUGGACUGAGAAAGCCCAAAGCAGAGGAUUGGAGAUGGAAGGAAGGAAAGGAAAGACCUUGAGGAAAGUACAAAGUCUACCCACACGAGCAUUUCCUAAUGAGCGUUCUGCAGAAAACAAGUUCCACAAAGCAUUGGUAGGUGUUAUUCGCGGGGUGCACUUCGAAUUUGCAAUCACCAUGAGGCUCCAGGGUGAGGAAUGUCUUCUGACUCUACUUCUGCAAACUUCAUUCGAUGCGCCUGUGAGAGAAAACGAGGGAUCCCAGUGUCUGAAGGAAAAAAUGGUUCUGUAAUCUAUGAAGUCAAAUCACAGUUGAUAGCAGAAAGUGACACGAAACGGGAACUAGGAAAAAUUAAGUUGCAAGGUAUAGAUUUCGUCCGACUAAAUUAGAGGUAAGCAAUACCCACUUCUCUCUUAGGGCCCACGCUCCAAAUAAAACGGAUGCUUGUUGGGGUGUGUGGUUUCUU
rnacentral:lncRNA from 1 species